rnacentral:tRNA from 1 species
GCACCCGUAGUCUAAUUGGAUAAAACGGCGCCCUCCGACGGCGCUGUUCCGAGUUCGAGUCUCGGCGGGUGCACCA